rnacentral:tRNA from 1 species
AAGCUGUGGAAAACUAUGAUUAUUAAAAAUGUAUUAAAAAAUAUAACUAAGGUGCUCUAGAGUUGUUGGCUUAGCACGCACC